CCUGCAGAGGAACAGAAGGGGUCUGAUGAAAAUGUAAGGCCUUUCAUAAGAGAACUUGGUCAUGGGUUGUUCAAAUCAGAAAGGCAAUAAAAGAAGAGACCUAAUACCCUGGAAGCAAGUCCUGGCCUAAGCUGGUGACAAUAUUUCAGUAAGGUUCAAUCUGUGGUGUAGCUGGAAGAGAACCUCCAUGUGAACUUUUCCAGCUCCUAUCUAAGUUACAAGCUGGAAAGUAAGAACUCCAAGUGAAAACCUGCCUCUCUCAGGUUUGGGGGAUAGAGGACAGGAGUAGAAGCUGGUUUCCAAAAAGCGUUCUCCUGACCCCCAAGAACUCACUCCUCUCAUUCUUACUGCUGCCUCCCUCAUACCCCUCACCAAUCAUUCACAUUGAGCUCUCCAGAUACCCUAGAAAGGGACCUGGAGGUAUUGCUGGCAAAUUCCUCCCUACCCCCAAGUUUCUGAAGAGGCAUGAACUCAAAGAUGAGAAGGGGCCCCCUUCAAAACUCUUGGAACAGUCGAGCAAAUGAAAACUCUUAAAGCCAUAAAUUGUCCGGGUGCGGUGGCUCAUGCCUGUAAUCCCAGCACUUUGGGAGGCCGAGGUGGGUGGAUCAUGAGGUCAGCAGUUCGAGACCAGCCUGAACAACAUGGUGCAACCCCGUCUGUACUAAAAAUACAAAAACUAGCCAGGCAUGGUGGUGCAUGCCUGUAAUCCCAGCUAGUCGGGAGGCUGAGGCGGGAAAAUCACUUGAAACCAGAAGGCAGAGGUUGCAGUGAGCUGAGAUCAUACCACUGCACUCCAGCCUGGGACAGAGCGUGACUCUGUCAAAAAAAAAAAAAAAAAGAAGAAGAAAAGAAAAGCAAUAAAUCAAUGAAAUAAGUCAUUGGUACUGCUUCAGAGAAAUGCCUUAACGCCAGCAAAGCUCAGAGGCAUCUCAGCUCCAGCCUGGGGCCUCCGAACGGCUGCUAACAUCCCAGUUAAUGCUCCAACUGCUGUUUAACAAUUAACAUUAAUGACUUGGGGUGGGAUGGGUGAUUUGGUGGGAUGAGAAGGGAAAAAUCUGAAAAGUCAAAAGACAUUUAACUUUUGAGGUUAAAAAACAGCUUCUCUAUGAGAGAUCUUGGCCUGGGCAGCCUAUCUGGGGAACCAGCAGCUGACAGUCCUCCUUUGCCACUCUGCAAUCCACUUUCCUGGAGCAAAGCUACGGGCCUUUUAAAAACCCAGCUGCCAGUCCCUCUUCACUCACUUCACCGGCCUCCAACUUGGCCUGUGCUGGGACUGAUACUGUGGUCCUGGUCACCAGAGCCAAAAUAGGGGGAAAGCUGGCUUGGAAAAAGCAGGCAACCAAGGGUACACACCGUUAGCCAAUAUUUGCAAGGCUGUUGGCAGAUUAGAUAUAUCUGUACUCAAACACUGCAAUCUGAUUUCUCUGUCAAAAGUACACUUAACAUUUUUGUCCCAUUACUUAAAUCUAGUGGAUUUUCUACUCAGCAUCAGGAAAAGGAAACGCCAAGACAUAGAAAACCACGCUUUUCCCGUAGGAAGAACCGAUGAUGAGCCCUGAUGAAAGAAAGAAGAAGACCCGCUGUCUGCGAAGGCCUAAAGGUUAGAAAUACAGCAAUUUUUCUCAUGCCGAAGGAAAGGCAAAAUGGUCUAAGAAACUGCAAGGCAGUGAUACAAGUUUUCCUCAACAGCGAGCUGGGACUGGUGACAAUUUCUUAACUCACAGCCUCCGCAGUCGCCCUAGUCGACAAAGAGAGCAGCCCACGCAGCGGCCGCCGCGCCCGUGCCCGUGGCCUUUACUUGCUUUUGCCCUGAAGUUCAGUGUAGUGGUUUGUUUGGGGCUUGCAGGAAGAAACGAACACACUCCCUCUGACUCUCCACAACCCAUCUUUGCCUUCUGCAACCGCUUCUCCUGCCCAUCGCUGAUUUUGGGGUAGGCUCUUUGUCUGCCUGAGGCCCCGCACUCGCAGGGCAAGAAGCUUAAAGGAAUCCAACUCCAAACUCCUCCGAAGUUAAAUAUUGACCAGAACCUCUUUCAACAGGCCGCGGUUGCCAGGAACCGUGGAGGGCCAACUCCUCCCAACCGCCCUGGUGCAAAGUCCCACGCGGCGAAGAGUUUUGGAGCAGCGCUUACCUAGAAAGAUGUUUAAAUUCUGAACCAGGAAUUGUCUCCAACUCCAGGCGCUCAGGGAAUCGCCUUUUCCGGUAUCCAGGCGCUCUGCAGACAAAUAAACAGCAGAAGGUGAAUGGCGGCUGCGAGGGAAGGGAGUUGGAGGCCGGGAGUGGGAAGCGAGGCUCAUGCGGGCGCCAAGGUGGCCCAGGGGGUGACGCGAACACCAAGGAGUCGCCAGGGCACUCGUCCGUGUGGCGCACUCAUUGCUCGAAAUGUUCCAGUCUACAAAUGGCCCGAAGAUGGUGAUUUAUUUUUGUAAAAUAAAUACAUACUCCAUCUCCACA